AGUGAACGCUGGCGGUAGGCCUAACACAUGCAAGUCGAACGGCAGCACAGUAAGAGCUUGCUCUUACGGGUUGCGGGUGGCGGACGGGUGAGGAAUACAUCGGAAUCUACUUUUUCGUGGGGGAUAACGUAGGGAAACUUACGCUAAUACCGCAUACGACCUACGGGGGAAAGCAGGGGAACUUCGGACCUUGCGCGAUUGAAUGAGCCGAUGUGGGAUUAGCUAGUUGGCGGGGUAAAGGCCCACCAAGGCGACGAUCCGUAGCUGGUCUGAGAGGAUGAUCAGCCACACUGGAACUGAGACACGGUCCAGACUCCUACGGGAGGCAGCAGUGGGGAAUAUUGGACAAUGGGCGCAAGCCUGAUCCAGCCAUACCGCGUGGGUGAAGAAGGCCUUCGGGUUGUAAAGCCCUUUUGUUGGGAAAGAAAAGCAGCAGGUUAAUACCCCGCUGUUCUGACGGUACCCAAAGAAUAAGCACCGGCUAACUUCGUG
rnacentral:rRNA from 1 species